rnacentral:rRNA from 1 species
GACGAACGCUGGCGGCGUGCUUAACACAUGCAAGUCGAACGGUGACGAGGAGCUUGCUCCUCCGAUCAGUGGCGAACGGGUGAGUAACACGUGAGUAACCUGCCCAGACUCUGGAAUAACAGUUGGAAACAGCUGCUAAUACCGGAUACGAGACGGAGAGGCAUCUCUACCGUCUGGAAAGUUUUUCGGUCUGGGAUGGACUCGCGGCCUAUCAGCUUGUUGGUGAGGUAAUGGCUCACCAAGGCGACGACGGGUAGCCGGCCUGAGAGGGCGACCGGCCACACUGGGACUGAGACACGGCCCAGACUCCUACGGGAGGCAGCAGUGGGGAAUAUUGCACAAUGGGCGAAAGCCUGAUGCAGCAACGCCGCGUGAGGGAUGACGGCC